UACGUAGGUGGCAAGCGUUUGUCCGGAUUUAUUGGGUUUAAAGGGUGCGUAGGCGGUCUUAUAAGUCAGUGCUGAAAUAUCCCGGCUUAACCGGGAGGGUGGCAUUGAUACUGUAGGACUUGAGUAGAGUUGAGGUUGGCGGAAUUGACGGUGUAGCGGUGAAAUGCGUAGAUAUCGGAAGGAACACCUGUGGCGAAAGCGGCUCACUGGACCACAACUGACGCUGAGGCACGAAAGCUAGGGGGAGCAAACAGG
rnacentral:rRNA from 1 species